rnacentral:rRNA from 1 species
UCAGGCCUCACCCAUGCAAGUCGAGCGCGAAAGUUCUUCGGAAUGAGUAAAGCGGCGAACGGGUGAGUAAUGCAUGGGAAUCUGCCUGGUAGUGGGGGACAACGUCUCGAAAGGGACGCUAAUACCGCAUACGCCCUACGGGGGAAAGAGGGGGAUCUUCGGACCUCUUGCUAUCAGAUGAGCCCAUGUCGGAUUAGCUUGUUGGUGAGGUAAAGGCUCACCAAGGCGACGAUCCGUAACUGGUCUGAGAGGAUGAUCAGUCACACUGGAACUGAGACACGGUCCAGACUCCUACGGGAGGCAGCAGUGGGGAAUAUUGGACAAUGGGCGCAAGCCUGAUC